CAUUCAACUAAAGCAAAAUUGAAGCACAUGUUUGAUGCGGUGCAUGAUAGAGUUUUGCUACGAUCGGAACUUCUUACACGUGUGCGCAAUGCAUAUAUUUUUGUAUUUCAUCCUCUUCAUCUAUCGGCUUAUAUAGUAGACUAUGUAACUUAUGUCGACUGGGCAGAAGAAUGUGCAUAUUUAUUUAAGUAAUUACUAUUUCAUCUUUCAUUA